rnacentral:rRNA from 1 species
CGAUCAGUAGCUGGUCUGAGAGGAUGAUCAGCCACACUGGGACUGAGACACGGCCCAGACUCCUACGGGAGGCAGCAGUGGGGAAUUUUCCGCAAUGGGCGAAAGCCUGACGGAGCAACGCCGCGUGAGGGACGAAGGUCUGUGGAUUGUAAACCUCUUUUCUCAAGGAAGAAGAACUGACGGUACUUGAGGAAUCAGCAUCGGCUAACUCCGUGCCAGCAGCCGCGGUAAUACGGAGGAUGCAAGCGUUAUCCGGAAUUAUUGGGCGUAAAGCGUCCGUAGGCGGCUUAUCAAGUCUGCUGUUAAAGCGUGCAGCUUAACUGCAUAUCGGCAGUGGAAACUGAAAGGCUAGAGUGUAGUAGGGUAGAGGGAAUUCCCAGUGUAGCGGUGAAAUGCGUAGAUUUGGGAAGAACACCGGUGGCGAAAGCGCUCUACUGGGCUACAACUGACGCUGAUGGAC